CCUACGGGAGGCAGCAGUGGGGAAUAUUGCGCAAUGGGCGAAAGCCUGACGCAGCGACGCCGCGUGAGGGAUGAAGGUCUUCGGAUCGUAAACCUCUGUCAGCAGGGAAGAACGGUCACUGUGCUAAUCAGCAGUGAAUUGACGGUACCUGCAAAGGAAGCACCGGCUAACUCCGUGCCAGCAGCCGCGGUAAUACGGAGGGUGCGAGCGUUAAUCGGAAUUACUGGGCGUAAAGCGCUCGUAGGCGGUAUGUCAAGUCAAGGGUGAAAUCCCCGCGCUCAACGUGGGAACUGCCUUUGAUACUAGCAAACUGGAGUGAGUGAGAGGAUAGUGGAAUUCCAGGUGUAGGAGUGAAAUGCGUAGAUAUCUGGAGGAACAUCAGUGGCGAAGGCGACUAUCUGGCACAUUACUGACGCUGAGGAGCGAAAGCGUGGGUAGCAAACAGGAUUAGAUACCCCGGUAGUC
rnacentral:rRNA from 1 species